AGAAGAAGCGACGGCUAAAUACGUGCCAGCAGCCGCGGUAAUACGUAUGUCGCAAGCGUUAUCCGGAAUUAUUGGGCAUAAAGGGCAUCUAGGCGGCCAGAUAAGUCUGGGGUGAAAACUUGCGGCUCAACCGCAAGCCUGCCCUGGAAACUAUGUGGCUAGAGUACUGGAGAGGUGGACGGAACUGCACGAGUAGAGGUGAAAUUCGUAGAUAUGUGCAGGAAUGCCGAUGAUGAAGAUAGUUCACUGGACGGUAACUGACGCUGAAGUGCGAAAGCCGGGGGAGCGAACAGGAUUAGAUACCCUGGUAGUCCCGGCCGUAAACGAUGAUUACUGGGUGUGGGCAGGAAGACUGUCUGUGCCGAAGCAAAUGCGAUAAGUAAUCCGCCUGGGGAGUACGGCCGCAAGGCUGAAACUCAAAGGAAUUGACGGGGACCCGCACAAGCGGUGGAGCAUGUGGUUUAAUUCGACGCAACGCGAGGAACCUUACCAGAUCUUGACAUCCUACGUAGGCCUGUGAGAACAGGCUGUGCCUUCGGGAACGUAGAGACAGGUGGUGCAUGGCUGUCGACAGCUCGUGUCGUGAGAUGUUGGGUUAAGUCCCGCAACGAGCGCAACCCCUGUUGCUAGUUACCAUCAUUAAGUUGGGGACUCUAGCAAGACUGCCUGCGAAGAGCAGGAGGAAGGUGGGGAUGACGUCAAGUCAUCAUGCCCCUUAUGAUCUGGGCUACACACGUGCUACAAUGGUUGGUACAAAGAGGAGCAAAACGGUGACGUGGAGCAAAACUAAAAAGCCAAUCUAAGUUCGGAUUGAAGUCUGCAACUCGACUUCAUGAAGUUGGAAUCGCUAGUAAUCGCGGAUCAGCAAUGCCGCGGUGAAUACGUUCUCGGGUCUUGUACACACCGCCCGUCACACCACGAGAGUUGUUUGCACCUGAAGUUACUGGUUCAACCGUAAGGAGGAAGGUACCUAAGGUGUGGAUAGUGAUUGGGGUGAAGUCGUAACAAGGUAUCCGUACCGGAAGGUGCGGAUG
rnacentral:rRNA from 1 species